rnacentral:rRNA from 1 species
GACGAACGCUGGCGGCGUGCCUAAUACAUGCAAGUAGAACGCACAGUUUAUACCGUAGCUUGCUACACCAUAGACUGUGAGUUGCGAACGGGUGAGUAACGCGUAGGUAACCUGCCUGGUAGCGGGGGAUAACUAUUGGAAACGAUAGCUAAUACCGCAUAAUAUUAAUUAUUGCAUGAUAAUUAAUUGAAAGGUGCAAUUGCACCACUACCAGAUGGACCUGCGUUGUAUUAGCUAGUAGGUGAGGUAACGGCUCACCUAGGCGACGAUACAUAGCCGACCUGAGAGGGUGAUCGGCCACACUGGGACUGGGACACGGCCCAGACUCCUACGGGAGGCAGCAGUAGGGAAUCUUCGGCAAUGGACGAAAGUCUGACCGAGCAACGCCGCGUGAGUGAAGAAGGUUUUCGGAUCGUAAAGCUCUGUUGUAAGAGAAGAUCGGGUGUGAGAGUGGAAAGUUCACACUGUGACGGUAUCUUACCAGAAAGGGACGGCUAACUACGUG